rnacentral:rRNA from 1 species
UACGGAGGGUGCAAGCGUUAUCCGGAUUCACUGGGUUUAAAGGGUGCGUAGGCGGGGAAGUAAGUCAGUGGUGAAAUCUUCAAGCUUAACUUGGAAACUGCCAUUGAUACUAUUUAUCUUGAAUGUUCUGGAGGUCAGCGGAAUAUGUCAUGUAGCGGUGAAAUGCUUAGAUAUGACAUAGAACACCUAUUGCGAAGGCAGCUGACUACGGAAAUAUUGACGCUGAGGCACGAAAGCGUGGGGAUCAAACAGG